UACGAAGGGAGCGAGCGUUGUUCGGAAUCACUGGGCUUAAAGCGUGCGUAGGUGGAUAUGUAAGUCUGAUGUGAAAGCCCACGGCUCAACCGUGGAAGGUCAUUGGAAACUGGAGGACUUGAGUACAGAAGAGGAAAGCGGAAUUCCACGUGUAGCGGUGAAAUGCGUAGAGAUGUGGAGGAACACCAGUGGCGAAGGCGGCUUCCUGGUCUGUAACUGACGCUGAGGCGCGAAAGCGUGGGGAGCAAACAGG
rnacentral:rRNA from 1 species